UUACAAGUAGUAUAAAUAAUUACAUAAGUUUUUCAUACUUAAAGUACAAUUUUAAUUGUCUUGUGAA
rnacentral:tRNA from 1 species